ensembl:lncRNA
GUUUGUUUGUUUAGCUGUUUAUUUUAAUUGUGUCUUUUCCUUUUUUUAAGUGUCAGCAGUUCACGUUUUGGCACCAGAUGGAGGCUUUCUUUUGGUGAAAUGCCACCGUGUCAUUCAGCCGAGCUUUGAGCCUUUGAAUGUUCGCGCAGGGAUUUUUAGGGAGCAGAUCCAGAGAGCUGGACUGCCUCCUCUGCAGUCUGGACCGUCUGCGUCUUUACAGAGCACCUCCCACCGUGAAGCACAAGGCCCCUCCCUGCUCACUGGAAUGAAAUGAUCGUCCUAAGAGGUCAACUUGCUUAAUUAUAUUUAAUUCCCCCAACUUUCUCCUGUGGCAGGAGGUAAAAUGCCACUGGAUAUGGCUUUUCUCUUGAAAGUACGUGGAAGAGCUGUGUUGGAGGGUCAGAAUAAGUGGUGUGUCUAUCCCUAGUUAGAGGAGGUCGCCUUUCAGUUGUGGUGGACUGAGGCCAUCGGCCACCAGAACAAGCCAUCUCUUGCUUUACUGUAGAACCAGCUGUAACAUCUAGAACGUGUUGCUCCUCUUUUCCUAAGGACUCAGAAUAUACCCACGAAGUUACUUCAAAUAGAGUCUAUUGUAAUCGUCAAAUAAGCCGAAUGUCGCUAAAUAUACCCGCUGUUAUUUUAGUCUUUAUUUGUAUAUGAUGAUUUAAUUUUCAUUGACUUGGAUGUGCUGUAGUGUAAAGCGCUCUGACUUCCCACCGCGGGUGGAGAGGGAACGACGAUGCUGAAGCGCACAGAGCCGUCACCGGGGGCGGGUUGACUCGAAGCAUGCAGGCAGACAUACGGGCCUCAUGUGUGCCCACCAUCCAAGGGAGAGGAGAAGCCGAGAGAGGAAGCCUGCACUGGAAGAAGGAAAGAGACAACGAGACAGAGAGAGGCCCACGCAGUCUGUGUGGAGAAAGGAGAUUUGAUCAGAGAAAUCACAAAGCAGGAUCCAGACGCCCUGACAGCUACUGGGCAGUUACUGAGACUCAUUCUUAUCAACUGAGGUGGAGCACAAAAUUAAGCAAUACUAAGGCGAGGCCAAUUCUAGGAUAGAUAUAUGAAAUGACAGAAAACUAUUUGUUUUACCUUUUUUUCCUCCCUGUGUGUGAUGCAUUUAUUUAUAUUUGAAAUGGAACGCAGUAAUUUAUCUUAUCUUUAUUCUACACCUGAAGUCAUCCUCUUCCUCCUCAAAUUAGCAUCUCCUCCUGAAUUUUCUCUCUCAUUUGGGGCUCCUUUGGAGCGAGGCCCUCCAACUUGAACCCCUGAAAAUCUAAGAUAGCUACGAUCCUGCUCACUCCGUAACAAGGCUCCCUAAUUGUUUUUUCGUGAAGAAACAACACUGAUGUUCCAGUCAAGACAUAACAUUGCCCCGGGAAGCAAUUAUUAUUAUUUUUUUAAUAUCAGCUUUAUUAAGAUAUAUAUAUAGGGGCCGGCCCCAUGGCCGAGUGGUUAAGUUCGUGUGCUCUGCUUGGGCAGCCCAGGGUUUCACUGUUCACUGGUUUGGAUUCUGGGCACGGACAUGGCACCACUCAUCAGGCCAUACUGAGGUGGCGUCCCACAUGCCACAACUAGAAGGACACACAACUAAAAAUAUACAACUAUGUGCUGGCAGGUUUUGGGGAGAAAAUGUAAAAAUAAAAUAAAUUAAAAAAUAUAUAUAUAUAUAUACAUGUAUCUUAUAAUAUAUAUAUGUAUCAUAAAAUUCACCAUUCUUUAAAGUGUACAAUUUAGGAGUAUUUAGUAUAUCCACAGAAUUGUGCGACCAUCAUCAACAUCUCAUUGUAGAACAUCUUUAUUACCCCCCAAAAAACCCUGUACCCUUUGGUGGUCACUCCACAAUCCCUCCAUCCCCACCCCUGGCAACAGCUAAUCCACUUUUUCCCUCUAUGGAUUUGCAUAUUCUGGAUAUUUCCUAUAAAUGCAGUCACACACGUGGACUUUUUGUUUGGCUUCUUUCACUUAGCAUAAUGUUUUUGAGAUUCAACCGUGUUGUAGCAUGUAUUAGUAUUUCAUUCCUUUUUAUGGCUGAAUAAUAUUUCAUUCUGUACACCAAGUUUUGUGUACCCAUUCAUCAGUUGAUGGACAUUUCAAUUGCUUUUACUUCUUGGCUAUUGUGACUAAUGCUGCUGUGGACACUUAUUCACAAGUUUUUGUGUGGACAUGUGUUUUCAGUUCUCUUGGGUAUAUACCCAGGAAUAGAAUUAUUGGGUUACGUGACAACUCUACAUUGAACAUUUUGAGAAACUUCCAAACUGUUUUCCAAAGUGUCUGCACCAAUUUACAACUAAUGAAUGAGGGUUCCAAUUUCUCCACAUCCUCAUCAACAUUUGUUAUUACCUGUCUUUUUUAUUUUAG